CGUCUCGUCUUCGCUCUCCAUCCAUAUUCUCUCUCUCUCCGUCGCCAUUGUUUCUCCUCAAAAUCUUGGCGCAGUUUUCCUCUAUGAUAUGAAUCCAUGAGGAGACUGGAAGCGGAGUAGAUCUUAUUGAAUACUAGGUUAUAAUUAUUAUCCUCCAAAUUUGCAUCUCAUUUGAAGCCAUGAAGCAACCUUAGCCAGAGUCGCAUGUGAUUGGAUGCUGGAAUCAGAGUAACUACUGCAUGCGUUUGUACCAGAUCUGAUCCGGUGAUCUAUCCAUUCUCUGCUGAAAGAAGCAAAUAAGGUUAAUAUGGAAUUUGAGAGGGACAGCGUGCGAGGCAGUUUUAUGGAACUACUAAACAUGGUUGAGCAGCCAAUGUCAAAUAUCAAUCAACAGACCACUGUAAACUCAGUACCUGAAGAAAGUUCAUGCUAUUCUGAUAGACCUUAUUGCUCAGAAGACAAUGAUGUACUUUCGAGACCUAACUUAAGGGUUGACACUUGUGAUUAUGUCGAUGACUCAAAUGAAGUAGAGUCACGUCUAGAAUGUAUCAAAGACCCGUUCGAACUUCCAGAUAAGAUGUCUAGGCCUGAAAAUCUAGAUGAGCACUACCUGGACAUAGGAGUGAUCCAAAUCCCAAUUCUUCUAUCCAUUUAAGCUGUUCUGGACAUAGGACUUUCAUAAUGGCGCUUAUCUUGUUUGGAUCACAUUUCCAGUUGAUGAUCUACAUGCAUGUUCAGGAAGCGGAAGGAGAAGACACCGGGUGUAAGGCGGAGCCGAGGCAUCAUCCGAGGUUGUCUUCUAGGAGGGCGGCUGCAUAGGACACCCACGUGGGGUCCACUGGAACAUCCUCGGUUGCCUGAUAUUUUUUAUUUGACUAAACUUCCGAAUAUGAUUUUUAUGAAUUUUCCAGAGAUCGUUUCCAUACCUGAUCACAUACUUAUUAUUUUUCAGGGUUCUGGAGCCUUCUAGAAUUUAUUUCAAUGAAGUCUUCUAGAGUAAUUACCUGUAUAACAUCACUACAUCAGUUUCUGCCUCGAGAGGGUAACCGACAGUAUAAUGCCUAAGUAUUUUCCCAUUCACUACUAUCGGCUUGCCCCCUUGGCAUUGUUGUCCUUAAUUUCCCAAAACCAAUAAACUUCCUCGAUGGUGAAUGAUCCUUCUCAUUUGAAGACAAGAUUACCUGAAAAAUAUCUAAAACGAGACUUGUACAAGAGAACUUCAUCGCUUAUUUUAAAUUCAUAUUUCUCUAUUCUCCUAUCAUAUGCCACAUUUUAAUUUUUUGCUUUAUCGUAUUCGCAUUUUCAUAAGCUUCAUUCCUCCACUCAAACACUUAUAUCCACCAUAAACCAUCUUACAUAGUGAUAUUCUCAUAGUAUUUUUAUUAGCACCUCUAUAAGCCCAUAGUGCAUCAUUCAGUUUUUAGACCAAUAUGUCCUCGAUCUAUUGAUAGCAUUUUGAAAAUUAAUUUGAUCUCUCUAUUAGUUAAUUG